rnacentral:miRNA from 1 species
GAAAGGAAGAAAGAAAAAAAGUGUGUGUGAGAGAAAGAGCAGAAAAAAGAAAAAGGAAAAAUUUGAGCGUUUCUGAAAUUUUUAUUUUUCACUUUAUUCCGAUCUCGUCUUUUGAUGAAGUUUGUGCUCUAGUCAUUUAUCUCGCUCUUUCUCUCUUUACCUUUUUUUCUUUUUCUUUUC